rnacentral:rRNA from 1 species
AGAGUUUGAUCCUGGCUCAGGAUGAACGCUGGCGGUAUGCUUUACACAUGCAAGUCGUACGAGAGUUUUUAACUCAAGUGGCGGACGGGUGAGUAACACGUAAGAAUUUGCCUUUAGGAGGGGGACAACAACUGGAAACGGUUGCUAAUACCCCAUAUGCUUUCGAGUAAAACGGUUUUUCCGCCUAAAGAGAAGCUUGCGGCUGAUUAGCUUGUUGGUGAGGUAAUGGCUCACCAAGGCGACGAUCAGUAUCUGGUUUGAGAGGACGAUCAGACACACUGGAACUGAGACACGGUCCAGACUCCUACGGGAGGCAGCAGUGGGGAAUUUUCCGCAAUGGGCGAAAGCCUGACGGAGCAAUACCGCGUGAGGGAUGACGGCCUAUGGGUUGUAAACCCCUUUUUUCAGGGAGGAAUCAAUGACGUGUACCUGAGGAAUAAGCAUCGGCUAACUCCGUGCCAGCAGCCGCAGUAAGACGGAGGAUGCAAGUGUUAUCCGGAAUCACUGGGCGUAAAGCGUCUGUAGGUGGUCCAAUAAGUCAACUGUUAAAUCUUGAGGCUCAACCUCAAAAUCGCAGUCGAAACUAUUAGGCUAGAGUAUAGUAGGGGUAAAGGGAAUUUCCAGUGGAGCGGUGAAAUGCGUAGAGA